UGUUUGACCUGCAUUGCAACUGUCCUAUAGGCUCACGGAUGAAAAGCUGUUAACUGUACGAUAACGCGGCGACCCCGCGGCGAUAACCUUCCAGGUAGCCUUGAGGACACGCCAUUUUGCUUCGGGCGUCGCAGCUUUUCCUUCUCAACCUUGGGUGCAGGAAGGUUGAUCAUUAAGUUUGCUGCAAGUGUCGGUGAAAUACUAUCAGUGUUCAAAUAACAUAAACUGUAACGACCUGGUGGCAUCGUGAUGCGGAUUCCGUUCUCCCAGGGAUGCAGACGGGCUUCGGACACAGCGUGCAGCUGUGUUUUUGCCCGACGCAUCCACGGAGGAACAAAUCCGACACCGCUAUGCCGCACAAGCUUCACACCAACAAUGCUUCAAGUUGGAAAAUAAAAAGUGGAUCUAUUGGAAAUCUUUUCCAGAUGGCCUCACUCCUCUGUAUCCCAUAGUUCACAGCUCAGAACAUCCCAGAGCAGGCAUUUGCAUCAGGUCACUGCUCGCUCCAACCAACUAGAGGGUAAACGUCGCGCUAAUCCUCCAAAACAUGCCACCCUGAAAAUGUUGUCUUUGUGCGUACUGCGCAGGGUCGAUAACAAUUCAUUCUGGUUUUGAAUGUUGACUGCCGCAAAUGACUGUUUCCGUUCUAUUGCCCUGAAUUUGGACUGCCUCCCUCAUUCCUCAACUCCUCGCUCGACCCUGGACUCUGAUGUCUCUCUCUCGCCCCUGAUCCUGCCUGCCCCAUGGACUUCCUCGUUCCUUCGUUCUCGGCAACACUUUGGUAACAAACACUUCAGUUAAAGUCUACACAUAGUCUUGCACCAUACACUCUUGAGUUUUUGUCACACUUAAUUUCCUUGGUUUACUCGUUAGAAUUGUUUAUUAUUUUUAUUAUAUAUAUAUUUACCAUAUAUAUAAUACAUUAUAAGAACACUACCGACACCUGGUGUCAGUCUGCCGUCAUCUCCCCUUGUUUUAACCAUAACACAAGGAGCGCUAAAUUGCACAAUCCAAAAGUUGGGUUUGGAAUAACCCAACAUUGUAGUGAGCACAACUCAGUUUUUGUGUUAAAUCAAUUCAACCCAAUAGUUGGGUUAUGAAUCAACCAACAUUGAGUUAUCAUAAUUAACUUUUUGGUUAAAUAAUUUAAUGCAAAAUUUGGGUUGAAAAAAUUAACCCAAAAAAUUCGAGGUAAAAUAAGUCAAAGAAGAAGUUCGUCCUUGUCUAGAACAAACAGUUGGAUUAAAAUUGGGUUAUUUUUUCAAUCCAACAUUUUUUGUGUGUAAUGUCUUUUAAAGACAAUACGGCACGACUCAGAUGUGUAAUUUUGGAACACAAAGAGAAUGUGGGAUGAUUAUGAACUGUCUGGGAAUUGCCCGCCGAGCCUUGAUGUCGUCAUGUGGCCGUCUGAAUAAAUGAUCUUUGACUAAAGGGUUUGAUUUGAAAUAGAUGAGUUUGUGUUUUCUAAUUCAUCACAAUGUUUACUUGUGGCGCAAAGACCUGUAUCAGUUGUACCAGAAGAUAAGGAAGGGGCCAGUAUUGGUUUCUGAUACCAGGAUAAUUCACAGCUUGUUCGUAAAUGGUU